rnacentral:rRNA from 1 species
UACGUAGGGUGCAAGCGUUAAUCGGAAUUACUGGGCGUAAAGCGUGCGCAGGCGGUGAUGUAAGACAGGUGUGAAAUCCCCGAGCUUAACUUGGGAAUUGCGCUUGUGACUGGCGUGCUGGAGUGUGGCAGAGGGAGGUGGAAUUCCACGUGUAGCAGUGAAAUGCGUAGAGAUGUGGAGGAACACCGAUGGCGAAGGCAGCCUCCUGGGCCAGCACUGACGCUCAUGCACGAAAGCGUGGGGAGCAAACAGG